ACAAAAUGAAGAUGAGUCAAACAUUUUUCGCUGUGUUCGCUUUUUUAGUUCUUGCAUCAGUUGAAGGUAUUGAAACAGGGAUUUGUGAACGAUUUGUCCUAGGGGUUAUUUGUCCACCAGAAGAAGAUUCAAGGAUAUGCCUAACGGAGUGCACUAAUAUAUCCAAAGGUCAUAAACCCAUUAAUCAUCCUUGUUUACAAGGCAAAGAUUCAUCUUUCUGCUUUUGUCAGUGGCUAUCAGAUUUAUGUUAAUGGAGAUCUUCUACAUCCAUCAAACGUUCAUUAUUCUCGAUCAACACUUACACCAAUCAAUUCUAGAAGAAAUCUUUGAUUGUAAUAAGAGAUAUAUAACAGUUGUACUUACUGAUUCUUCA